rnacentral:tRNA from 1 species
GGGCAUGUGGCGUAGUUGGUAGCGCGCCCCUUAGCAUGGGGGGAGGUCUUCGGUUCGA